UUCAAUUCCUAAGCUUGAUCAUGUUGUGGUUGCAAUUGAGGAGUCUAAAGAUUUGUCAAAAUUUCCAUUCGAUGAAUUGAUGGGUUUUUUUACAAGCCCAUGAAUCAAGGAUAAACAUGUCAGCGAAAAAGCAAGUAGAAAAAACAUUCCAAUCUAAAAGUAUGAGGCAAAGGUGCAUUUCAUGGAAAUAGUCGAGGGCGAGGGCGAGUAAUUGUUAAUGUUCUCGUUGCUGAAAACAAAAUUUUUCAGCAAGUUUCAAAUGUGGGAAUUUUUUCUUGGUAAUUGGUGCAGA
rnacentral:misc_RNA from 1 species